rnacentral:rRNA from 1 species
GCUGGCGGCGUGCCUAACACAUGCAAGUCGAACGAAGCACUGCAAACGGAGAUUCGUCAAAGUUUGCUUUGACUUAGUGGCGGACGGGUGAGUAAUGUAUGAGCAACCUGCCUUUCAGUGGGGGACAACAGUUGGAAACGACUGCUAAUACCGCAUGAUGUCAAUUGGGGGCGUCCCCGAAUGACCAAAGGAUUUAUUCGCUGAAAGAUGGGCUCAUAUCUGAUUAGCUAGUUGGUGAGGUAACGGCUCACCAAGGCUGCGAUCAGUAGCCGGACUGAGAGGUUGAACGGCCACAUUGGGACUGAGAUACGGCCCAGACUCCUACGGGAGGCAGCAGUGGGGAAUAUUGGGCAAUGGGCGAAAGCCUGACCCAGCAACGCCGCGUGAAGGAAGAAGGUCUUCGGAUUGUAAACUUCUUUUAUGAGGGACGAAGGACGUGACGGUACCUCAUGAAUAAGCCACGGCUAACUACGUGCCAGCAGCCGCGGUAAUACGUAGGUGGCAAGCGUUAUCCGGAUUUACUGGGUGUAAAGGGCGCGUAGGCGGGGAUGCAAGUCAGAUGUGAAAUCUAUGGGCUUAACCCAUAAACUGCAUUUGAAACUGUAUCUCUUGAGUGCUGGAGAGGUAGACGGAAUUCCUUGUGUAGCGGUGAAAUGCGUAGAUAUAAGGAAGAACACCAGUGGCGAAGGCGGUCUACUGGACAGUAACUGACCCUUAGGCCCCAGAGCGUGGGAGCAAACAGGAUAAAUACCUGGUAGUCCCGCUGUAACGAUGAAACUAGUGUGGGGGACUGACCCUUCUACGGUAGCUAGUUUAGCAUUCCGGCUUCGAGUGAAAUCAACUCCCAUGGUGUGACGGGCGGUGAGUACAAGACCCGGGAACGUAUUCACCGUAGCAUGGCUGAUCUACGAUUACUAGCGAUUCCGGCUUCAUGCUCUCGAGUUGCAGAGAACAAUCCGAACUGGGACAUAUUUUAUAGAUUUGCUCCACCUCGCGAUAUUGCGUCUCAUUGUAUAUGCCAUUGUAGCACGUGUGUCGCCCUAGGCAUAAGGGCCAUGAUGACUUGACGUCGUCCACACCUUCCUCCCCCUUACGAAGGCAGUCUAUUUAGAGUGCUCGGCCGAACCGUUAGCAACUAAAUACGUGGGUUGCGCUCGUUGCGGGACUUAACCCAACAUCUCACGACACGAGCUGACGACAGCCGUGCAGCACCUGUCUCAACAUUCUAGCAAGCUAGCACUCUCUUAUCUCUAAGAGAUUUGUUGGAUAUCAAGCCUAGGUAAGGUUCUUCGCGUAUCAUCGAAUUAAACCACAUGCUCCACCGCUUGUGCGGGUCCCCGUCUAUUCCUUUGAGUUUUAAUCUUGCGACCGUACUCCCCAGGCGGUAUACUUAAUCCGUUAGGUGGAUUACUGCCAUGACUAGCACAGCAACAACCAGUAUACAUCGUUUAGGGCGUGGACUACCAGGGUAUCUAAUCCUGUUUGCUCCCCACGCUUUCACGCAUUAGCGUCAGUUAAGUUCCAGUAGAUCGCCUUCGCAUGGGUAUUCUUCUGGAUCUCUACGGAUUUACCCCUACCCAAGAAUUCAUCUACUUUCCUUACUCU